rnacentral:tRNA from 1 species
GCCUCCUUAGCUCAGUGGUUAGAGCACUGGUCUUGUAAACCAGAGGUCAUGAGUUCGAAUCUCAUAGGGGGCU